rnacentral:rRNA from 1 species
GACGAACGCUGGCGGCGUGCCUAAUACAUGCAAGUCGAGCGAAUCGAUGGGAGCUUGCUCCCUGAGAUUAGCGGCGGACGGGUGAGUAACACGUGGGUAACCUGCCUGUAAGACUGGGAUAACUUCGGGAAACCGGAGCUAAUACCGGAUACUUUCUUUUCUCGCAUGAGGGAAGAUGGAAAGAUGGUUCUGCUAUCACUUACAGAUGGACCCGCGGCGCAUUAGCUAGUUGGUGAGGUAACGGCUCACCAAGGCAACGAUGCGUAGCCGACCUGAGAGGGUGAUCGGCCACACUGGGACUGAGACACGGCCCAGACUCCUACGGGAGGCAGCAGUAGGGAAUCUUCCGCAAUGGACGAAAGUCUGACGGAGCAACGCCGCGUGAGCGAAGAAGGCCUUCGGGUCGUAAAGCUCUGUUGUUAGGGAAGAACAAGUACGAGAGUAACUGCUCGUACCUUGACAGUACCUAACCAGAGAGCCACGGCUAACUACGUGCCAGCCGCCGCCGUAACAC